AACCAUUGUCGCGAAGCUACGUCUGUUGGAUAAUGACUGAACGCCUCUUAAGUCAGAACCCAUGCUGAUUAAACAAUACUAUUGGUUCUUUUUUGUCCACUUUUACAAUAAAAAUGUAAGAGAGAAAAAAUAUGUACUCAUACUAGCAAGAUUUGUAUGAAUGCAACUAUUCCCAUGGCCCAUUAGGAUCUGGUAUUCUUUUGGGUAUUACUAAUUUAACAACGAAAAAGACAUACACAAAUUGUAGACGACUUUUAUAUCUUAAGGUGCUGUAAACAUGAAAGUAAACCUUGUUUUACGAUCUGUUGAGGCUAAUCCUUUAUGAUAAAGUGUUU
rnacentral:rRNA from 1 species